rnacentral:lncRNA from 1 species
GCAUACUUUAUUAUUCUUUGAAGAUAAAUUGAUAAAUAAUAGAAUCAUAACUCCACUGAAAAGGAGGAGAAUAUAGUGUGUGUAUGUGAUGGGACACAUACACAUCCCAUAACAAAUUAAUUAACUAGCUUGGGGAGGGGCACAUCCCAUACAAGGACAUUCUGGAUGUGGAUUUGGAUACGUACAUAUGCAUUGACCAGAGCUGUUACAUUUAGAUGCCUCUACAUCUGCGAAUUUAUUAAAAAAGAGGCAAGCAGCAAGACAUGGAUCAACAUUUGGUCUUCGAGGAUCCCUAUGACAAAGAGUUCUGUCGGCUAAAGGAUUUUGGCAAAUUAAUGCUGCUUCUGUUCCCUGCAAUUGGUUAUUUCCUACAAAUAAUUCGGACACAAAAUACACCAUUAUUAGCCAACAAAGUAAAAUCAUCACAACAAUUAUUGAAAACAAAAUAUAUUGAAUGCUAUGAAUGUUGCACAUACCAAAACCGAUGGAGAGAACAAGUACUAAGAGAAUGGGAAAAUAUAAAAGGCUUUUCAUAUUGUUUGGAGUGGAAAUUUUAUUUUCACCUUGCUUUCAAUGGUUAGGAUGCAUGUAAAAAGACAGGCUCUUUGGUAUAUAUAGG